CCGCGGGGCUUGCCGCGCUCCGGCCGGAGCUCCAGCUGGGAGAGCGGGGCCGCGGGGCAGCCGCGCUCCCGCCUGCGCUUUGAUCAGGGGAGCGGGGCCACGGAAGACCCCGGAGCAGACAGACGGCAGCCAGAAAAUGAACCUGAUGCCACUCAGUGGGAAAAAAGCAGUACUGCAAGAAGUGAAGUAACCUAGAAAGGAUAUUUCUUUAUCGAGUCAGUGACUGGAAGAAGCACAAUAUCACUACAGAGACCAACUGGGAGGAUUUUUUAUAUAACACUUAUGGCAAGAAGCAAAGCAAGUGGGCUCAUCGCUGGGGUGCAGGAUGAUUGAGCAGCUGCUGGAAGGAGCUGGAAUGUUUGUCAUGGAUGAAGUCAGGAGCGUACGGGCAGCCAGAAGUGGUGUUAGACUGGUUCUCACUUGAGGGUGUCCAUUGAAUGGUGCACUCCCUCCCUUACACAGGUUGCUUCUGGAACCUCAAGCCUCCAGUCACCUGGAUCUCAUCUCUGUUGCUGGAAUUAUUCCACAGCUCAUCCCUCAUAGUUAAUGAAUAUAUCCUAGUCCAAGAACCUUUGCUCCGCUUGCUAUGUUUGCUGAAAAAAUUCCUGAAGCAAAGUCCAGAUCAAAAAAAUGAUCACCCUGCCUCCUAUUUUAAAACUCCCACUGACCCUUGCUGGGUUGGAGGAAUGUUGUAUACACCUAUCACCCACUCUUGCCUCGACAUUAACGCAAGGGUAUCCAGUCAGGACCAGGAUAAGCUGGGGAAACACCCCUCAAUUCAUGGAAUACCCAGCCAUCCAACUAAAUCUGUUCUUGUUCCUCUAUCACGGCCUUCAAUAGGCAUCAUUCCUCUGUGUAUCACUCAACCAAUCACCUCACAGCACAGCCCAUCCUUUAUACCUUAUUCAUCACCUACUCCC